GAUGAACGCUGGCGGCGUGCCUAAUACAUGGAAGUUGAGCGAAUGGAUUAAGAGCUUGCUCUUAUGAAGUUAGCGGCGGACGGGUGAGUAACACGUGGGUAACCUGCCCAUAAGACUGGGAUAACGCCGGGAAACCGGGGCUAAUACCGGAUAACAUUUUGAACCGCAUGGUUCGAAAUUGAAAGGCGGCUUCGGCUGUCACUUAUGGAUGGACCCGCGUCCCAUUAGCUAGUUGGUGAGGUAACGGCUCACGAAGGCAACGAUGCGUAGCCGAGCUGGGAGGGUGAUCGGGCAGACUGGGACUGAGACACGGCCCAGACUCCUACGGGAGGCAGCAGUAGGGAAUCUUCCGCGAUGGACGAAAGUCUGACGGAGCAACGCCGCGUGAGUGAUGAAGGCUUUCGGGUCGUAAAACUCGGUUGUUAGGGAAGAACAAGUGCUAGUUGAAUAAGCUGGCACCUUGACGGUACCUAACCAGAAAGCCACGGCUAACUACGUGCCAGCCGCCGCAGUAA
rnacentral:rRNA from 1 species